GGAGGAGGAGGAGGAGGAGGAGGAGGAUGGAGGGGACAAACAAACAAGUUAUAAACACGAUUAAAAAAAAGAAAUAUCCUGACGAUUCUGUGAGGAGGAGGAGGAGGAGGAGGAGGAGGAGGA